UUUGCAAAACCCUGGAGUUGGGAGUUGGGACCUCACCCUUUGUGACCCUGAGGUUUCUCUCUCUUCCACCGCCAGCAAGCUGAAAACACAGACACUGCGAAAAGGGAAAGGGAAAAAAGACAAGUUAAGGAGGAAAGCUUGAAACUUUAUUAACAAAAGAGCAAAGGAAAUGAAGGAAUAGAAGGUGGGAGAUGAAGAGCUUUUUGUCACUCUCUACUUCUUCUGCUACAGCUUUCCAUUUUCGUCCUCUCAUGGCUAAGGUACAUUGCAAAGACAUUAUAUGGUGAUGAUGAGGAAGAAGAAACUCCUCAAGAUACUAAUGAUACUAAUGUUGAUGAAACAAAACUGCUUGAUGUUCAUCCAACUUCCGAUGAGAAGGUUGUUUUGAAGAAAGGUCCAUAUGGAUUCUAUGUACAGCUUGGCGAAGACAGGACAGCAUCUGCUUGGAUGGGUCCAACUUGUUCUUGGAAAUACACUUGGUGCCAUGCUAUCAAUUGUAAUUAGCAAACAAGUGUUAAAUGGACAGAAUUGUUCUUUUUUUUAGAUAAAAGAUGUGGAUGCUAUUGCUCUUGAAGUUGCUCUCGACUUGCUACGCCACCUGCGGACAUUGGGUGACCAUCCAAAGGACGGGAAUCCUGUGAUAAUAAAGAUCGGAAGGGUCGGAUAGAUGGUUAAACAACGCCAAACAAUGGCUUCUGUUCCCAAGAGGACGUCACACUGGAGAAAGCUAUGGAGCUUUUAUCGGGUAAAAAUGUUGGUCGAUCCGGCCAACCUAAGAGCAAACCGAAAGUCAAAGAAGCUGUUGUGGCUAGGGAGAGUGGAGUUGGUAAAUAGUAAAUACAUGGAAUCAUUUUUGGCUAACACCUUGACACAAUGAAUGGAUCAAUGGAUCUGUUGAACGAAGGCAGCUUUUUAGUUUCAACAGAAGAAAGCAUUGCUCUUCUGAGAAGGGUUCCAGCCCCUGUAUGGACAAAAGAGAGAUUCUUCUUACAAUAUAAUUUUGUACAGCAGUGUAAGAAUAUGCAAUUAUAUUGUAAGGUAGCAAUUGAAAUGUCUUGUUGGGGUUUUUUAGGACAGUCUGGUUGCCGGUUUCACAAUAUUCAACAGACUGGCCAUUGCUUAAAAAUCUUGGAAAGCUGCUGUGUGGUAAUUUAAGUUUAGAAAUGAUGCGCUCACCAUGGAAAUUCUUCUUCUGAAUAUUUUUUUUUGGGGUAUGUUUAUAUUUAUGCGUUAUAUUAUUUAACUUGGA